rnacentral:rRNA from 1 species
UAGAGUUUGAUCCUGGCUCAGAUUGAACGCUAGCGGGAUGCCUUACACAUGCAAGUCGAACGGCAGCACGGACUUCGGUCUGGCGGCGAGUGGCGAACGGGUGAGUAAUGUAUCGGAACGUGCCCAGUAGCGGGGGAUAACUACGCGAAAGCGUAGCUAAUACCGCAUACGCCCUACGGGGGAAAGCAGGGGAUCGCAAGACCUUGCACUAUUGGAGCGGCCGAUAUCGGAUUAGCUAGUUGGUGGGGUAACGGCUCACCAAGGCGACGAUCCGUAGCUGGUUUGAGAGGACGACCAGCCACACUGGGACUGAGACACGGCCCAGACUCCUACGGGAGGCAGCAGUGGGGAAUUUUGGACAAUGGGGGAAACCCUGAUCCAGCCAUCCCGCGUGUGCGAUGAAGGCCUUCGGGUUGUAAAGCACUUUUGGCAGGAAAGAAACGCCAUGGGUUAAUACCCCGUGAAACUGACGGUACCUGCAGAAUAAGCACCGGCUAACUACGUGCCAGCAGCCGCGGUAA